ACAUCAGUUCAAUAUCAAAUGAAGUCUGAAUGUUAACUAAACCCACAUAAUUACCUCUUCACUGAUGUGACUGAGCUGGCAGAUCAUUUCAUUUGCAUAUGACACAUUUUCCCUCCUCACUCGAACACAGGUGUUUGUUUGAAUGUGUUUCUUGUGUUUUGAAUGACUGCAGUGCUUCACUGCUCCCAAAGCAGUUUAAAGUGAAGCAGAGAAGCAUCUGAACGGCCUGUCUACAGCCAGAUUAAUCACAGUGAAGAUGCUACUGACUCCACUGUUGAUCACGCUGCUGCUUCCACUUCAAGGAUCAGAUGGCAGUCCCUCUGUGAAUCAGUCUCCUGUAUCAAAGUCUGCUGGUUUGGGAGAGACGGUCUCUCUGAGCUGUACAGCCAGUUCAGGAGUUGGUGAUGAUCUCAGCUGGUACCUGCAGAAACCUGGACAGCCUCCCAAACUGCUGUUUUAUAAAAUCAGUGAACGUGAAUCUGCCCCGAAUCAUUUCAGCAGCAGUGGAUCUGAACCUGAAUUCACUCUGACAAUCAGAGGAGUUCAGGCUGAUGAUGCAGGAGAUUAUUACUGUAUGGGUGUGUAUAGCGGCCCGGUGUUCACACAGUGAAACAGAGUCGUACAAAAACCUCCUUCAGUCAGACCACAAAGUGUUGAAAGAGCAGCAGCUGUGAGUUUCUGCAGCAGACUCUGAGAUGGAUGACUGGUCCACUGAAGAGUCAGAGCUGGAAACAAAGUACAUUCACACAAGCUCAGAAGUUAAGAAGCUUUAAAAAGAAUUCACAGUGAUUAUUUAUCUCAAGACAUUUUAGUUAUUUCCCCCAGCCUUCAGGUAACUUCUUUAAUACUUUUCUUAAAAGUUGUCUCUUUGUAGUUAGAAAAUAACUCCUAAUGAAAUAUUGAACAUAAAAAAUAUAAACACUUUUAUUUUAAUAUGUAAGUACUGAAUAUCCAGUUAAAACACAGACCACUACAUUAAGUCUGAAUCAUUGACUUAGAACAUUUAUUCAUUUUUAUUAAUUCGGUCUUGUGUUAAUAAAAUGUAGAUUAAUGCUGAUAACUUAUUUGCCCUUUUUAAUUACCAUUUAUGUGCUUAACUACCUAUAAUGUACUGUACUGGUUGUAAAUUAUGUAAAAUAACGUAUUAUUU